rnacentral:rRNA from 1 species
GCAAGGAGGCAGCUAACCACGGUAGGGUCAGCGACUGGGGUGAAGUCGUAACAAGGUAGCCGUAGGGGAACCUGCGGCUGGAUCACCUCCUUUCUAAG